GCUGGCGGCGUGCUUCAUACAUGCAAGUCGAGCGUGAACCCGGGCUUGCCCUGGGGGAAAGCGGCGAACGGGUGAGUAACACGUGGGCAACCAACCCCAGCCUCUGGGAUAACCUCGGGAAACCGGGGCUAAUACCGGAUACUCUCGAAGGGUCGCAUGGCCCAACGAGGAAAGCUCCGGCGGACUGGGACGGGCCCGCGGCCUAUCAGCUUGUUGGCGGGGUAAUGGCCCACCAAGGCAUCGACGGGUAGCUGGCGUGAGAGCGUGACCAGCCACACUGGGACUGAGACACGGCCCAGACUCCUACGGGAGGCAGCAGUAGGGAAUCUUGCGCAAUGGGCGAAAGCCUGACGCAGCGACGCCGCGUGGGGGAUGAAGGCUCUUGGGUCGUAAACCCCUUUCGGCAGGGAAGAAGCGAAAGUGACGGUACCUGCAGAAGAAGCCCCGGCCAACUACGUGCCAGCAGCCGCGGUAACACGUAGGGGGCGAGCGUUGUCCGGAUUCAUUGGGCGUAAAGCGCGCGCAGGCGGCUCGGAAAGUCGGGUGUGAAAACCUGGGGCUCAACCCCGGGCGUGCAUCCGAUACUGCCGGGCUUGAGGCA
rnacentral:rRNA from 1 species